CUGAACUGCAGCUUGGAUGCCUGCUUCAACUGCCAAAGCAGAAAAGCCAAAACUUUGUUUUUAAUUAAACUGAUGCUUCCAAGGCCCCCUCGUCCUUGGGGUCUGGCUGCGGCCCAGAAGGAGGCAACGAGCAGCGCCAGGCAGUGGGCACUUGUGAGAAGUCUUCCUCUCCAAGAAUCAAGCCUGCAGAACCGGGUCAGGGACAGAGCUGAAUGGUGGACAUCCUGCUGCACUCAAACUCACUCCACCCUUAGAUCAUGAAUGUUUCAUAAAUGAUGCUGAAUGAACUAACGACUCAAGAAACCAGAUGCCUCAUCUUUGAAAUCCUCAUUGCCAUCAGGGAAUAUGGGAGAAUCACUCAUCUGGAUUUCCAUUGUGCCUAGACCUUGAUGCCACCUUGUGUCCAGCCGGGUCCUUGAUGCCUUCCGGAUUUGUUUCCCAGACAGUUAUUUGGUGCUUCUUUCCAUGGCAUGCCUAGAGUCGGAAUUGUCUGUGAUGACUUUUAACUGGGGAGGCCUGCUGUGGCACAAAAUUUCAUUACUCCCUCGAGCAACCUCUGAGCUGUUGUCUGAGUUCUAAUGGCAGCAAGUUAGGGAUCCCCAGGCAGGGGCUGGGGCCCCACAGGAAGAAGGGAAUGAAAGAUUGAAAAAGAGAGGAAUCACAAGAGAAAAAGCAAGGAACACAUGACUCAGAGAGCAGAUACCCAUUUAUAUGGGAAGGGACAGCAGUUAGGUAAAUGUUCAGAAACUGUGAAGUGAGGCACCACACGGGGCUCUACUAUGGCACACCCAGAGGUUUCUGACAGACUUCUUUCCCAGCGGUCGUACCACCCUGGGACACAGAAAGUUGAAGGCCACUGUGGAGAGAGAAGCUUGAAAUUGCUGGAAGAGAGGAGGUGAUUUAUGAAGAUAUGCCCUGUUUCAUAUGGGCUCUCCUUCACCAGAACCAGACAAGUAGCAUCCAUGGCUCAGAAGCCAAUAUGCUAUUGGUAUGCUGGCUAGCAGUUACCACUCACUCUGGGCAACUGAGGCUCAAUCCCAGUGGGCACUAGGGCGCUGUGAGGAGACAGUGAACAAGGGAAAACUGACUUCGUAGAUCCCAAGAGUUUUGAUGUUGAAGAAAGGGCUAGACAGUGAAUUUCAGGGUGGUGUUUGGGAAAUAUGGAUCAAACCUUGGAUAACAAGAGAAUAUAUGGAAUUCACAACUGAUUCAGAUUUUUUCUUUUUUUGUGUGUGUCCUUCCUGAAGAUUUUUUUUAAGGUUUUAUUUAUUUACUCAUGGAGACACAGAGAAA